UAAAACAACUUUUAACAACGGAUCUCUAGGCUCUCGCAUCGAUGAAGAACGUAGCAAAUUGCGAUAACUAUUGUGAAUUGCAUCUCGUGAAUCAUCAAGUUUUUGAACGCAUCUUGCACUCUUUGGUAUUCCAAAGAGUACACUUGUUUCAG
rnacentral:rRNA from 2 species